rnacentral:ncRNA from 1 species
AUAAAAGUCAUGACGGUAACGAAGUAGUUUAGCGCUUAUUGGUACAGAAAGUCGACGGUUGCUGCGAGUCGAUCCAGAACGUUAAAUGAAUUACAUUGCCCGAACUUUCCCGUAAGUGAACGUGAACUCUGCGUUAAAGAGCCGAGUGGAGAAUAGAGUUGCUAUUCUCAACAAGGGUGGUACCGCGACACGUUCGUCCCUUUU